rnacentral:tRNA from 1 species
GGGGAUGUAGCUCAGUGGUAGGAGCACUUGCCUAGAAUGUGGGAGGCACUGGGUUCGAUGCUCAGCACCACA